AGUGCACAGUGCAUUGAAAAUAGCAGGUUUUACUGCAAACCGCUGCACAAUACAAUUGCAUACCGUACAGAUGGUGGGGUGCAGGCACGCUCGCGUUUGUGAAGUUGGCAUCUGUUAUCUCAGAUCCUCUUUAAAUUCAUAAUACAACUGUAAGAUGACAAGCACUUCCGGAGAGCCUUCCAUGACAGAAGGGGACGAGUCUUCAAGUUGUAGCAGUCCAAAGAAACAUGUCUUGCUUGGCUGCACUGGGAGCGUAGCUGCUAUUAAGAUUCCUCUUCUAGUCCAGGAACUCUUGAAGACAAACCAAGUAAGUGAUAACCUUCAAUCCCUCUAGGGGUGCGUUCAAGGGAUAUUUUGAAGCUAAAAU